AAUGAACGCUGGCGGCGCGCCUAAUACAUGCAAGUCGAGCGAGAAGACGUAGCAAUACGUUUGUAAAGCGGCGAACGGGUGAGGAAUACAUGGGUAACCUACCCUAGAGUGGGGAAUAACUAGCCGAAAGGUUAGCUAAUACCGCGUACGCUCCUUGGACUUCGGUUCAGGGAGGAGAGCGAUGCCGAGGGUAUCGCGCUCUUGGAUGGGCUCAUGUCCUAUCAGCUUGNGGUGGGGUAACGGCUCACCAAGGCUUCGACGGGUAGCUGGUCUGAGAGGACGAUCAGCCACACUGGCACUGCGACACGGGCCAGACUCCUACGGGAGGCAGCAGUAAGGAAUAUUGCGCAAUGGGCGAAAGCCUGACGCAGCGACGCCG
rnacentral:rRNA from 1 species